UACGUAGGGGGCAAGCGUUGUCCGGAUUUAUUGGGCGUAAAGAAGCGUGUAGGCGGCCAAACAGGUCAGCUGUGAAAACUCGAGGCUCAACCUCGAGACGUCGGUUGAAACCGUUUGGCUAGAGUCCGGAAGAGGAGAGUGGAAUUCCCGGUGUAGCGGUGGAAUGCGCAGAUAUCAGGAGGAACACCAAUAGCGAAGGCAGCUCGCUGGGACGUUACUGACACUGAGGCGCGAAAGCCGUGGGGA
rnacentral:rRNA from 1 species